rnacentral:tRNA from 1 species
AUUUAUAUAGUUUAAAAUAAAACAUUACAUUUUCACUGUAAAAUAAAAGAAAAUCUUUUAUAAAUA